rnacentral:rRNA from 1 species
AUCCUGGCUCAGAGUGAACGCUGGCGGCAGGCCUAACACAUGCAAGUCGAACGGCAGCACGGCAGUAGCAAUACUGUGGGUGGCGAGUGGCGGACGGGUGAGGAAUACAUCGGGAUCUACCCUGUUGUGGGGGAUAACGUAGGGAAACUUACGCUAAUACCGCAUAAGAACUGAGGUUGAAAGCGGCGGACCGCAAGGCGUCGCGCGAUUGGAUGAACCGAUGUCCGAUUAGCUAGUUGGCGGGGUAAAGGCCCACCAAGGCGACGAUCGGUAGCUGGUCUGAGAGGACGACCAGCCACACUGGAACUGAGACACGGUCCAGACUCCUACGGGAGGCAGCAGUGGGGAAUCUUGCGCAAUGGGAGCAAUCCUGACGCAGCAACGCCGCGUGGGUGAUGAAGGUCUUCGGAUCGUAAAGCCCUGUCGGAGGGGAAGAUGCUUGGAACGUCUAAUAGAUGAGCCAGGUGACGGUACCCUCAAAGGAAGCACCGGCUAACUCUGUG